CCCAAAUGUCUUUAACUAAAGUUCGGACAGCGUCUGCAUUCUGUAUGUUAGGUUUAGCAUGUGUAAGAAGUAACUGACACAUUUCCCGAAAAUGAGUGUUUGGAAGAGGAGUGAAAAGUUCUGUAGUUGUUUCGGCUUCUUUAAUUUCUUCUAAACGCUCUAUUGUCAGCCAGUCAGGGAUCAAGAUGGUUUUUUGAACAAUGAAAAAUGAAGAAAUAAUAGAUACUCCCAAGUAUUAUUUUAUAAUGCAUUUGGAGUAUUCAUAUUUUAGAUGUGAUCGAACUACAUGGAUCAUGAUACUUCUUCAUUUAAAAUUGUUUUAAGAAUCUCGACCAAAACAAAUAAUUUUAAACACUCCAUUGCAUGGUAUAAUUAGAAUAUUGGUUUUAAACAACUCAGCGAAAAAUG